CGAGCCGGAUGGGACUGCACCUGCCAGCCGUUUGGCACGCAGUGAAAACCAGAGAGAGGCCCGGGAAGGAGGGGCAGCCCUCAGCGGGACUCAAGUUAUUUGCUCUGCGUGUCGUUGCGCAGGUGUGUUUGAGCGCUUCCACCCCGCAGCAGCUGCGGGGACAACCCGCAUCUGUCCCCUCCCACCACCUUUUUUUUUUUAUUUGGUGCGGUUUCCAGGGAAAAUGUCCCGCCAUCCUGCGGGAUAAGAGCUUCCAGCCUCUGGUCUUCCACCGCAUCAGUGUGCGUUCCCGCAGACUCCGCGGUCGCCACUGUCCGCAUUCCAGGUGGUGUUGCGCAGAUAGAAAUUGAACUUGGAGUAAACAACCUGGGGGGGUGGGGGGUGCUCUGAGGCGACGCUUCUGGCCGGACUGGAAACAUCCUGCUGCUGAUGACUGAUAAACAGCGCGAGCGCAGAGAAACUACCUGCUUCCAGCCGUCAUCCGUCCGGUCACGGCGUUACACUCCACAGAGAAAAAACAAUACGACACGAGGAGAUAUGUUUGCAGACUGAACUGAUGUGAUGUCAAACGCCGCGAGCCGAGGAGGUUAGAACAGGGAGGAGAGAACGCCACACGCUGCCCGACGGUUGAAACUCAGACGCGGCUG